rnacentral:rRNA from 1 species
UACGGGGGGGGCAAGCGUUGUUCGGAAUUACUGGGCGUAAAGGGCUCGUAGGUGGCCAACUAAGUCAGACGUGAAAUCCCUCGGCUUAACCGGGGAACUGCGUCUGAUACUGGAUGGCUUGAGUUCGGGAGAGGGAUGCGGAAUUCCAGGUGUAGCGGUGAAAUGCGUAGAUAUCUGGAGGAACACCCGUGGCGAAGGCGGCUCCCUGGUCCGUCCCUGACGCUGAGACGCGAAAGCGCGGGGAACGAA